GGAGCUGUGAUCCUGGAGAGCCCUGCCCUUCCUGUGACUGAGGGAGAUUCUGUGACUCUGCGCUGCAGAUAUCAGGAACUCCUCUAACCUCACAGAUGAUUUCUACAAAGAUGGAUCCCUCAUCAGGACUGAGACUACAGGAGAGAUGACCAUCCCUGCAGUAUCCAAGUCAGAUGAAGGACUCUACAAAUGUACCAACUCUGAAGGAGAAUCACCAGAGAGCUGGAUGACUGUGACAGCUAAGGGAUCUACCCCCACCCCAUCCUCUCCUACCUCCUCUCUCCUCCUCCUUCUGUCUGUCUCUGGGUUGGUGGCUGCUCUCUCCAUCUCUCUGAUCAUUCUACUGGUCCUGUUCUGCAAGAAGAGGAACAAAGAUGUAGCAGCUGAACCCAGAGAUGUUACGAAUGCUGACGUUAGAAUCACACAGGACCCAGAACCCAGGAGAAGGAGAGAGAAGUCUCCAGGAGCUGAUCCAGUCUACUCUGCAGUGAAGACCUCCAACACCACAGUUCCAGGUGGAUCCGGUCCAGGUGAUGUGACCUAUGCUGACGUCAACAACACAAAAAGACAACACAACAGGAGGAGAGAGAACGUCGUUCCAGACCCUGUCUACUCAGCAGUGAAGACAGACAGACCGAGAUACAGGUAGAGCUGUAUCUGGACCCAGGGAAGUAAUGUACAGACUGAGUGACCCUGUUCAUCAGAACGUCAUGGUGGGUGGAAAAAGAUGCUCUCUUCAGCAGCGGUGAAUAACCACAACCCUAGGACCUGAGCCCUAGGACCAUGCCUCAGGACUACCUGGCAUGAUGACUCCUUGCUGUCCCCAGUCCACCUGGCCGUGCUGCUGCUCCAGUUUCAACUGUUCUGCCUGCGGCUAUGGAACCCUGACCUGUUCACCGGACGUGCUUGUUGCACCCUCGACAACUACUAUGAUUAUUAUUAUUUGACCAUGCUGGUCAUUUAUGAACAUUUUAACAUCUUGACCAUGUUCUGUUAUAAUAUCC
rnacentral:lncRNA from 1 species